rnacentral:misc_RNA from 1 species
AGUUCUCAACUUGCCUGCUUUGCGGCGGACAAGCUUGGAGUUGGAGCCCUGUCGGCGAGAGUCGACUGCUCUGAAAUGCAUUAGCCAUUACCUCUCUGUCGGCUCAAGCGUAAUAAAUCUUUGUUCGCUAGGUCGAUCCCGGAGGGGCCACGGCUUCUAAAGCACACUAUUUUUCAC